rnacentral:rRNA from 1 species
AUUGAACGCUGGCGGCAUGCUUUACACAUGCAAGUCGAACGGUAACAGGCCGCAAGGUGCUGACGAGUGGGGAACGGGGGAGUAAGGCAUCGGAAGGUGCGCGGUGGUGGGGGGUAACUAAUCGGAAGAGUAGCUAAUACAGCGUACGAUAUAAGGGUGAAAUAGUAGGACCGGAAGGCUUCGCGCGAGUAGGACGGAAGAUGACAGAUUAGGUAGUGGGUGGGGUAAAGGUUGACCAAGGGAACGAUCUGUAGCUGGUCUGAGAGGACGACGAACCACACUGGGUGUGAGACACGCCCGAGACUCCUACGGGAGGCCGCAGUGGGGAAUUUUGCACAAUGCGAGCAAGUCUCAUCGAGACAUGCCGCGUGUAGGAAGAAGGUCUUCGGCUUGUAAACUGCUUUUGUACGGAACGAAAGGGCUCUGGUUAAUACCCGAGGCUAAUGCCGGUACCGUAAGAAUAAGCACCGGCAAAUUACGU